GUCAGCCAUGAUAAAGCAGUCGAAAGCCAGAAUACUGGGUACAUAUACGCAGAUCUAACAGAAUCCACGGUCACCACGAAUAGAUGUAGGAUUAAAGGAUGCAAACGUAGUCCGGAAGACUCAGUUCGGAAGACCUGGUUUGGGUCAAGCAAAGUCGGCACGAAGCGUCAUACUGUGAUGAAGAAAAAUGUCGCGUGCCGAUACUACGCAUGUUUACUACAUGCGUGCGAAAGCAUUAACACGAAGCUAGUCGAUAUCCCCCGAGAGAUAUUCCUUCUUCGUGAUAUAACGUCGAGAAUUAUUAAUUAUUACCAUGACAUGACAAAUUUGAAAAGCUUACCUUGCGAAGGGAGGAGAUCUUCGUAUUUGAAAUGCGCAUCCGUUCUUGUUCUCGUCGCAGUUGUUGUGAAACUGACGGUAACUCAACCGCAAUUUAAUUGCCGUCUUCUGCUUGAUUCGUAUAACCGAGCGAGUCUUGCCACGGAAGUAAUGAUGGAAGAGAGUGCGACGGGGAAAGUCAGGGGGAGGACCUGAGUGCGGCCAACAGAAGGAAAAGUGCUUAACUUUAGUUCGGAACUUGUGAGAAGGGUCAUCCCGCGGGAAAUCAAUGUCUGACGGUUCAAAGAAGGUCGAAGAAGAGGACUGGACGAUGUGAUCGCGUGUAUACGCGAGUUGGUUUAUGUGUGAUGGUUAAUUUGAUAACCAACUCUCGUGCGGAACGCCAGGUUAUCUUUCAUCUAUAUUCCGUAUCUCUUUCGAUUACUUCGCGACGACUUUUUUCCGGUCGCUUUGCAGAUUAAACUGCAAGGCGAGGGGGACUGGGGGAACGGGUGCGGGUACGGUUAAAGAAACACUCCCAAGUAAUUAAAUAGGAGAUCUGCAUUUUACAAAGCAAUAAGUUACACGAGAGUCCUUACACGAAACCAAAGCCCCCAAUUCGAGUCGUGGCACGCGUUUCUCGUUCUCCUGUCAUGUGCUUUCCUCUUCCCCCUUCUUUUCAUACAAAUGUGAAACGUAAUUAAGCCGAAGGCAGUGAAUUGCAAGGACAAGAGAAGCGCGAUGUAUUCCUUCCUACGUAGAAGAUAUCCAGUCACGGAGUUACUGUUUUGUGAGAAAAUAUAUGCACGUAUUCAAGUUGUUGAACAAAAGUACAGAUGUGUCGCGCGCAAAACGAAGCGCCAUUAAUGUCGACGUUGAAAUAUAUAUACAAUUUUGAAAUUAUCUUUUCUGCAACUCAUUCUCGUUCCACUUUACUGCUGAAGAAAUCAUUUUGUUUAUUCUCCUUAAUGUGCAUUUCGUGAUCGUUAUCGGACGCAUUCCAACUUCUGUUCAGCAGCCAUACGCGCAGUUCCCAUUAAUAUUUGCGCUCGUAUGAAAUGGCUCGAAUUUUUCUGGAAGACUGGAGAAGGACGACGUCGUUGUCACCGAUAGUUAAAAAGAAAAAAAAAAAGAAGAAAAAUGGACAAGAUAUCAUCGGACGCGCGAUCAA